GUAAGAGAAUCAGGACCACACACACACACACACACUCUCUCUCUCUCUCCCAUUGACCCUAUCUCUCUCCUCUCUCUCGGAAUUCUUACCAUUUCCGUACAACCUGUACGGACAAACCCCAAAACCCUUUCAAACUUCACAGAUCAAGGUUGUAAUUAGUGUUUUUGGACUCCUUGCAAGCUCAGGAGUCGAAUGGUGGUGGUGGUUGGACAUGAAAACCUCGAAAACCCAAGAAACCUUAAUCUCCGAUUUGAGCACUGUUCAUGCAAUCGUGAAUGUGAGGUUUUUAGAAGAUUUUAAGCUACUGGUGAGCUUUAAGACAUCAAAACGAAGCAAAUUAGACGUUGGGAAGCCGAGUUUGGCGAGUUUCAAGUUUGGCCGGAUUAUCGAGGUUCCUCCGGCGAAAUCCCAUGAAUUUCAAGGCUCGAAAGUGCGACGACGUCGAUCACCAGAGUUCAAAAGUUGAAGACGACGGAAUAUUCCGUCAAACUUGACGGAAUAUUCUAAUGGCGUCAGGUUUUAGAUAGCAGUGCUUGGGUGGCUCACGAGGACUUCGACGGUGGUUCUAAUAGAACAUCAUAAAUGUAGGAUCACCUUUGGGUGUUUUAUAAUUAGUACUUGUUCUGCUUGACUACAUCUAGGAUACUGAUACUUUGGUUGUGUAUUUCACGUUAAAUCUCGCACUAGCACUCUAUCUUAACUAGUUCUGCUAGUAAUUUGUUUU